AAGUCGUAACAAGGUAACCGUAGGUGAACCUGCGGUUGGAUCAUUAACAAAUUGAAAGAUCUUCAAGAUCUCUCGAACACUAUGUGAACUGUUUCAUGUCUCUCGCGUGUCGUGGCACGUGUGCCUCGACGCGCACAUUUCUAAACUUUGUAAAACAUUUUUUGUCUAGAAACUAUUGAAAAAAGAAAUUAAAACAACUUUUGACAACGGAUCUCUAGGCUCUCACAUC
rnacentral:misc_RNA from 1 species